rnacentral:rRNA from 1 species
UACGAAGGGGGCUAGCGUUGUUCGGAUUUACUGGGCGUAAAGCGCACGUAGGCGGAUUGUUAAGUCAGGGGUGAGAUCCCGGAGCUCAACUCCGGAACUGCCUUUGAUACUGAGAAGCGUGAGUCCGGGAGAGGUGAGUGGAACUGCGAGUGUAGAGGUGAAAUUCGUAGAUAUUCGCAAGAACACCAGUGGCGAAGGCGGCGCACUGGCCCGGUACUGACGCUGAGGUGCGAAAGCGUGGGGAGCAAACAGG